UUCACUAUCUAACUCUAUAUUCACUAUCUAACUCUAUAGUUGGAUAUAUUUACUCUCUAACUCUAUAUUCACUAUCUAACUAUAUAGUUGGAUAUAUUCACUAUUUAACUCUAUAUUCACUAUCUAACUCUAUAUUCACUAUCUAACUCUAUAGUUGGAUAUAUUCACUAUCUAACUCUAUAGCUUUAACUCUGCUUAAUGUGUUUACUAGGCUUGAUAUUAGGAGAACAUCGUUUUUACGUUCAGAUCCGUCACGUCCACAUCUGCUAAAAAUCCUCUUUCAAAAUGUAGUGGUCUGCAGAUGUGCGAAGGGUUUUAUUUUUUUUUUCCAGUCUCGUGAACUUUACUCAGAUUAUUUUUUUCAACCCGAUAUCCCGUCAGUCUGUCUCUUUUUCUUUUUUAUUAUUUGCUUGUGUAUCGAUAAAGUCUUCAGCCCACGUGUACACAGUCACAAAAGGAUGAACACCCUUUCCUUCUCCAUCCCAAAAAAAUAUCUCAAGUACUUCAUAUCCUCAGGGUCUAUUUAUGGGCUUAUAUAAUCUAUUUAUGAGGCUGAAGGAAUCAAACAUAAAGGGCUGUGCUGUUACAGGAAAGUAAUCAACCUGAGGGUUGAUGUGAUGAGUUCAGGGCUGUUCCCAACCCAAAGUGAAUUAUUUUCACGUAUCCCAAACUACUUAAUUCCUCAUUUUACCACAGCAGUUCGCCAAUGAUAACGUUUCUUAAAUUAUUUAAGAAUGCGUUGUCGUACUUUUCGUUGUUUAUGGUUAAGUUUGAUGUUAGGAAAUGGAACGUCUGUGAAACAGGUUAGUUCCUGUUGUCACUUAUGCUAUAACAGCUUUAAGCAGCGUUAUUUUUUCUUUUUUCCCCUCUGUCUUGAAGUAAAUAUUACAAAAAAAAAGCGUCUGGUUGUGUUACUGAGAAACUGGAAAGCCUCGUGGUGGAAAACCUACUGGCUGUUCCAACUCGCUGACUCUUUCCAUACAUGUUAAAUAAAUGUCUCUGUACAGAAAGUUUCACCAUAUCAACAAUUAUGAACUUUAUUAGAUAACAACAUAAACAUCUGUUUAGCAUUAGUUCGAUUAUGUCCAGCAUCCAAGCCGUGUGCUUCAUUAGAGAGUGUGUGGAAACACUAAUGGAGUAGAAGAACAACUUUCAAAUAUAAACCUGCGAUUGAAAUGCACUAUUGUCAGGGAAAAGAAAGGGAAAAUGAAUCAGCACAUUCUGACCAAUCAGACUGAAGAAUUCUGUGAAGAGUUUUUAAUGUUAGCCUCCGUGUCCUUUCUUGUUUACUGAGGAAAGAUGGAAGCAAAUAUACAUGUUGUUUUUUUCCGGACUGGUUUGAAAACGCAACAUUAGUCCUAGUCAUUUUUCCACAAGAAGGAGAUGAGAGGGUUAUGCGCAAGGACAUUACAUGAGAUUUUGAAUAACUACUGACAUAGAGUUGUUAGCUAGUGCGUAAUAUCUCUCGCCUGUCUCCUGCUCUGUGUGGCUUCCUCUGCUCUCUCUUCAGUUUCCUUCUUGGAGCUUUAUCUGGAAUCUCGACUUCCUGUGACCUGUCGAGACUCAUCUGCAUACCAUGGGCUCUGCGUCGGUCUGUGCGUGUGUGUGUGUGUGAGUGAGUGUGUGUGGGGAAUGUGUGUGUGUGUGUGUGUGUUACGGGGGGAGGGGGCGGGGGAUAAUUAGUAGAGAUACAGAGAAUGGAAGAAAGGGGGAGCUGUAUCUCACUCUCGAAAAGACACACACACACGCAGGCAGCAGAGUUUUAUGUUUUAAGCCUAGCUGAAUUUCUUCAGGUAGGUUAUAUACUACUGCUCAUUCCUCAGUGUGUGAAAUAAAAUAUAUGGCCUUUAAGUGAAACUAAGAAUCACAGUAAAAAGUACAUGAUCAAUUACGUAUAGCUAUUUUGAUUAUAAUCCAUCGAAGAUUAUUUACAUUCUAGUUUCUGUAUCACUUACUGUCUGAAUGUACAAGGUUAUAGCAUCUAACCUGCCAAUAAAAGUACUCUAACUCAUGAAUCGUUGCUGGGUUUUUUUCUUAUCAUAUCUGUAAUAUAAUUCUGCUCAUUGCAUUGCCACAAAGAUCGCAGUGAAUUUGCGAUGGAAUUUAAGUAAGACACGGGUCACCUUUCUGUCUAAAGAAAACCUUGAUAAGGCUAUAAUACUAUUUUAUUUUCUUUGUAAAAUAGGUAAGAUCUUUGUAUUUAACCAUUUUUGUGUCAUGAAAUAAUGAAAAGUGUUAAUAUUCAGUCCUGGGGCAAAUCCAGUCUUUAUCCAGACACAUCACACACCACAGUGUUGUGAGAACAAACUCUCCUCAAAUCCUUGUGUGCUUACGUCAUGGCUCACUUUGUCCUCUCUCAAAUCCGUCCGUGCUCUUGCUUCUUCUUCACUUAGCGCCUUUUCUUCCCCCGUGUUCAACACCGAGCGCUCAGGCUCGCCCACACGCAGCAAUACUUAGUCUAAUUUAUGCCAACCAGAGGAAAAGAUAAACGUCUCCUCAAACACUGUUUUGUGAGGUAAAAACACGUCAUUUUUUGUAUUUCAGAGGUUUAGAAUUACACAAAGCAUUAUUUCACAUCUGACGGCGAUGAAAGUAUGCUCUAACUAUAAUGCUAUAAUGCACUACAUCCACUGGAAAUCAUAUGUCAGAAUAGUGGGGAACUAUUAAAUAUAACUAUACUGACUCCAUGGUUCUGAUAAUCCAUGUUAUGGAUAGUAUAUGUUUCUGCAUCCUACAUUAAAAGAAUUAUUAUAAUCAUAAAAAAAUGCAAACAUUUAAAAUAUCCUAAAUAAGAUGUUGAGGUUCUCUUUGGGAGUGACACGGUUGGACAGGAUUAGGAACGAGUACAUCAGAGGGACAGCUCAUGUCGGACGUUUGGGGGACAAAGUUAGGGAGGCCGGAUUAAGAUGGUUUGGACAUGUUCAGAGGAGGGAGAGUGAGAAUAUUGGUAGGAGAAUGUUGGACAUGGAGCUGCCAGGCAGGAGGGAAAGAGGAAGGCUAAAGAGGAAGUGUAUGGUGGAAUAAAUGAGGAUAUGAAGCUAGUGGGUGUAAGUGUUGAGGAUGCAGAAGAUUCGCUGUGGCGACCCCUGAAGGGAAAAGCCGAAAGAAUAAGAAGAUUUAAAAUAUCCUAAAUGGUCCAGCACCAUCGUCUAAAUCUGAAGUUCAUGUUACUUGACACAUACAAAGACAUUUGGGUCUUGAGAUCAAAAACAUAAACACAAUAUGAUGUAUAAGAUUUCCAGUUUAAUUUUUUCAUCUAGAUGUGAUUAACAACCACCAUUGGACCCCACGUUGAAGUGGGCAAAAGUAUAGGAACGGUUAGUCUUAAAGUAAAUAACAUUUAAUAUUUGGUCAUAUGUUUUCUGCUUGCAAAAACAGCAUCAAGCCUAAGACUCAAUAACAUCACCAAACUGUUGUGUGUGUGGGUUUUUUUUGUGAUGCUUUUCCAGUUGUUUGUUGGGAUUCUUCCUUCAGUCUCCUCUCAGUUGGGUUAAGGUGAUUGACUUCCACUUUUUUCCAUACCACUGCUUUGUUGUGUUAGCAGUGUGUUUUUGGGUCAUUGUCUUGCUGCAUGAUGGAGUUCAUCCAAUAAGAUUGAAUGCAUUACUGUGUAAAUGAGCAGAAAGAGUGUUUCUGUAAACUUCUUUAUACCAUCAGGAUUUCCAUCAUCAGUAAAGGUUAGUGAUAAGCAGCUAUGCAAGCCCAAGCCAUGACACCAUGCCACACCACUCCACCAUGAGCAGAUCCUUUCUUUCUCCAUACUGCUGACUAUCACUUGGGUAAAGGUUAAUCUUGGUUUCAGAACUUUUUGUGGCUUAUCUCUGUACUUCUUUGUGAAUUCCAGUCUGGUCUUACUGCUGAGUGGUUUGCAUCUUGUGGUGUGGCCUUUAUAUUUCUGCUCUCAAACACCGUUAUUGUUAUAACUUCACCCCUGCCCUGUGGAGGUAGAUGAUGAUGUCAGUGACGGGACUUUCUGUUUCUGUUUCUGUUGUUUUCCUUGCCUGACCUGUGUGAUAUGUGGUUGUUGGUACACCAGUGAUUUCUUUCUUUUUUAGGACAUUUCAGAUUGUUGGCUUUGCCCAGUGACUCUGAAUGAUUGUUUCAAAAUGACUAGCUUUUUCCCCAUAGGCAGCUCUCUGGUCUUUGUGUUGGUUUAUCCAUAUUAGUAUGAAAUGAAGUCUUCACAGUCAAAAUCACAGUUCAAACCAAGAGUGGAGUGGCGGAGCUAUUAAUUAAUUAUUUAUCUGUUUAAACAGUCAGUGUAACAGGGUUCACUUGAGCAACAAGAAGCACGUGUUCCAAUAUUUCUGAUCAACCGCAUAAACGAACAAUGGAGGUCAUGUCUGACACAUCUCGGUAUAAAAAUCAAGAAACGUAGGCUGGAAUUUUAAUACUGAUUCAAGUUUUGAUCCCAAACCAAAAUGUUUUCAGUGUAUAAUUCUAGAGAAGACCAUUUCCUUCACAGAUGACAUAUUUUUUAAACGAGUCCCGAAGCUGAAUGAAAUGGUAUCAGUCACUGGUGAGUCACUGUUUAUGUUCACUUGUUGCGAACAUGCUUCAUGAUUAUUGACCAUAUAUUUCACAUACUUUUAUGCUAUAUGCUUGUCAGUGAUUUUGGAGUUGUACGUAUGCCAACCUGAUAAACACCUAAGGAAGUGUGUUGUUUUUAUUUAUAUUCUGUCAUGAUCAAGCUGCACAAUUCAUCAAACUGUACAAUUGACUUAAUUGCUGUAUUCAUCUGAACGAAUCAUUUAGCUGUCUUAAAAGUCAGUAAAAAGACCAUAAUCAAUCCUAGUACAGAAGCACGCUGCUCCAAGUUAGAAAAGAAAAAAUAAUAAGUCCGAAUUUUCAGAUACCAAGUGAAAAUUUCAACACACGCUAAAAUGAAAGAAAUGAUGAUAGCCACAUUAAUUGACUCCAUAUUACCUGACUUCCUAAACCAUGUAUCUCCGCACUAAAUAGCGUGCCAUAAGAUUUAGCAGUACUGCAUUAGAGUGGUUUUAAUCUGAAUAUCCGCACAGCUAAGACAAUUUCGAUCGUGAUCUUGCUUUUGUAAAACAGAUCUAUUAGUAUAACAUUCGUAUAGAGCAACUGACAUUUCAGAAACCGUAUGGUCAAGUAUUUUGUUUAGUUUUGCUCCAUCAGCGAAAAUAGUUCCCAGAGAAGCCACAGCUGGAUAGAGUGGUGAGUGUUGCCAUGGUGACGCACGGACCUAUGGACAACCCAUAGUGAGUUUACUGACCAUUUCAGUGUAACAAACUAUUACCAGAGUCGGAUUUGUAAGUUCACAGACACAAACACAGACUAGCAACGUGAUACUGACUUAUUGUAUGUCAAAAUAUUUUGGCACCUUAAGUAACUUGAUCCCAUGACAAAUGGCCUUAUGGCUAAAUUCCGAACAGCAAACUACCAUAGUACUAGUUUGACGGCCUACUAUUUUGACAUACUUUACAUAUAGUAGUAUAGGGUUUAGGAUGAAGCCACGGAACCCGCUUUGUGUUAUUUUUUUCUGCCUUUUUGCACUAAAGUUCACAGGAUGUGUUGCAUCAGGUAUUAUCUCACGCACUUCACCAGAAAUAGUAAUGGAAAAUUAAAGCUUACUUAAUGGUAAAUUCAGAUUAAAACUGAAAAAGGAAAACAUUUUCAAAACAGACCUUUUCAUCAGCUCCCUUAGUCAUUCUCUGUCUGACAUUUUACAAAAUGGAUGGUCUGUGUGUAGGCUGCUAAGAAUACCGCUAACGUGCGCUAUCACAAUAUUGCAGGGAAGCUAAAUGAAGACGGUUUUCACAUAAACUCAAUUCAGAUAGAUUACUUCAGGAUGUUGUGAAGCAGAGGCCUGUAAUUAUUUGUCAGUGCCACUAUUCACAGAGGGAGAAGAAAUGCGCCGAGCUCUAGUUGUGAUUUGCUAGCGUGCUUCCCACUUUAGCUGCAGGGAGUGUCCGUGCUCCGAGGAAACGGGUCAGGAAACGAUUUGCACUGAUGAAUGGAAAAUCCUAUUUUCACAUCUGAUUGAGUGAGACAGGGUUGGCUAGCUUUUUUAGAAUCUGGUCACAGAAUUCCUGAAGCUUGUUCAGGAAAGCUGGAACACCCGGAAUUCUAGAAAAGGGGCCUGAGAGAGAGAGCGAGCGAGCGAGAGAGCACGAGCACUCCAUAAACAAACACUGCAGCGAGCGUUAAUAAAACCCACAUGCUUGCGCUCACGAAGAGGGGGUGGACGCUGGGAGGGAGCAGGGUUACAGGAUACCUCAUGGCCUCAGGGCACAGGGUGCCAUCCCAUCGCAGGGUAACACUGCACACGCACUAAGGACUAUUUAGAGAUGCCAGUCAGCCUGCAGUGCAUUACUUCACGGACUGGGGGAGGAAACCGGAGUAUCUGGAGGAAACCCCUAAAGCACAGAGAACACACACACACACACACACAAACACACUUAAAUGGAAGAGGUGGGAAUCGAACCCCAAACCCUGGGAUUUAAGUUUUUUAAGCUAAUGCAAUUUUAUUAUUGAACUUUGGACCCACAAAACACAACCCAUUUCUAUCAUAUCGUUUUUACCGUUAUAAAUGACUAUUAUUCAUACCUUUUAUUAAGUAAUUCAGCUUUAAUGUAAAUCGUUCUGGUGGCACUGGUUGGUAGUAAGUUGAGAGCAGUUAUUAAUAAAAUCAUAUACUUGUGGUUCUUCUGACUGUACUUUCAGAAGGUGGAGCAUAUAGUACAUAUCGUACCCGGUGACUAAGCCGAAAAUAUCCUGCUCUCGGAUGUUUUAGGAUGAAAAUGUAGUCCACCCUCCUGGCUGGAAGGCACACUUAAAUGUUGUGCUACACCUAUUGUACCUCAUUGGCCUGCAAUCCAAUUAAGCAUUUAUCAUAUUAAUUGUUCAUCCCAGCAGCACUUGAGUGCUUUUAGCAUGCACACACACACCCCUCGAUGCACAUCCUUAUUUUUUUGGGAGUUGUGUUGUAUGUUGCGACACAAAUAGAUCAGACGGCAUAAAGGGCAAAGGGAAAGCACACUGCGCCGGCGACACUCUCAUUUAAUGAAGUCUUCAUUUAUGGCAGUGUUUCAUUAAUAGCCCUUUUUUUUUUAAACAAAUAGAAUGAAACCCUCUGUGCUGGUCAAAAGAGGUGCCAAGAGCCUUUUCAUUUGAACAUUUUUCUCAUUUCGCACUGCAUAAUGUGCGGAAUUAAUGAUAAUUCUUCCGUGUGUGUGUGGGUGGGUGGGUCGUUGGUUGGGCGUAUAUGAAUUUGCAAGAAUAAGGGAAAAAACGACAAUCAUUGAGAAAUAUCAGCAGCUCAGAAUAGCCUAAAUUGUCGUAAUAUAAGUCAAGAUUAACUUACCGACUACCAGGAUUAGACAUACAACUCACUGUAACCUCUAGAACCCAAGAGUGUGGGUCAGAUGACCUUAACAUGGGUUGAGAGUAAAUAUACUAGACAUUGAUACUGUCACCGAUUAUCACGAUAAAAUGAAAACUAAUUUAUUACUUUACUGUUAAAUGCACUACGACAGUGUCUCCUCGUGGUUUUGCUGCAUCACCUUCAACAGAUUGUGUGUUGGUGCACUGUGCAUGACAUUGGUGUAGUCCCAAUCGCUUACUGGUGUUACACCUUCAAUAAAGACUGACUAGCCAGCGAGUCAGGAUGACUUGAUACCUGUCAGGAUGUAACCUAUGAAAAAGAUCCAGUGAUAGUGGAGCAAAUCCACAAUAAUAAUAUCACAUAUCUUGAAUAUCUGCAGUGUUUACAUGUAAAGUGUCCCUGAAAUAAAAAAAAAAAAGAAAUUUGUUCAUGAAAAACUUUUAUUGAUGAUUCAUAUUUCUGCGAAUCUUCCUGAUUUCCUAAAUAAGUGCAUUCUAGAAUCAUAAUUUUUGUCCUGCCCCAGGAGGCAUUACUUGUUCUACAGAAGUAGCUUGUUAGCAAUAAACAAGGUUUGGUAGUAAACAAGGCUAUGAGUCUUCCUGCACACUUUCCCCUUUUCCAGUCAUCUCUUCGCUGUGAAAAAUCCUGUUAAAGUUUUUUUUUUAUCCUCUCAAAGAGGGAGGAUUUUGUUCAAGGUGUGUGACAGCACCUUUACCGAUAAGCCUUUGACCAUCUUGGCACCGGAAUUACGUCACUUCCUCGGACUAAGCAAGAGUGCGGUCCUGUCUGAACACACCAUCGGUGCUUCUUCAUCAGUAAGAUGUAGUAAAAGCCCCCUUUGCUCUCCUCCACAUGUAGCUAGCUUUCUAAACUCCUGUCAGGGUUGUUUAGAUUAGACGGGGGUGUGGUGGAUCUCCAAUGCUGUUGCCUGUUGCAUAAUCAGCCAGAAACUUCAACACCAAGUCAAAGUCAAUUUCGCUUCCUGUUUCAGAAGGAAAUACAUCGACCUAUACAGCAAAAAAGCCACAUGACGGCAACGUGAAGGUGAGACGUUUUGUUUCCAUGCAUCCAAGUGGAACAUAUCACUGGGACAGUUGCUAUAAUGAGCUACCAUGGUUAAAACCCCUAAAAUAGCUCACUAAUACCACAUGACCUUCUUGUAUGUGGAAUUAACAUCAGAGAUUUCUGCCAGUGAACAGCAAAUAGUAUGAUGUCAGGGAG